rnacentral:sRNA from 1 species
GGCAACUUCUACAGCAAACGUCAGACGAAGGAAAGAAUUCUUUAUUACAUGAAUAGGAUCGAUCCCACUAAAGGUAGUCCAAGAGGUAUGUUAUUCCAAGUACUUCGGAGAGGUAUAUAAAAAUUUAAAUCGCCAGUUAAGAAUUGGGAAUCCAUCUGAACACGCAAUUAUUUCACAAUUAAAACGGCCCUAAGCAUCAAGCGCCUCCUUUCAAGCAUUGGUAAAUUAAUAAGUUUCAAGCGGCUCUCGUAAAGGGGAAGAAAUUCAGCCGAAUUUCUUGGUAAGCCCCUAACCACAAAAAGAAGACAUUGUACCUGGACUGAUUCAUUCCUAUCUGAAUAAUACUUGUAGAAUAGGUUCAAAAACCACGUAACCGUAUUCCAAUGAAGGCCGGACUAAGCUUGUAAACAAACGCUUGGUCACAUAAGGAUCAUCAAACUCCUUGGACCACCGUUUUAUAAAACCCAACAACGACUUUGCCUUAUUAAUGCACGAGUCAAUAUGAACAUUAAAACGUAAUCUACCCUCCAAAAUAACAAAGAUCAGUAAAGGAAUCUACGUUAUCCAAUUUAUGAGAACCUAGAACAGGACUAGCCCUGAAAAGAGAUAUCUUCUUGCACUUGCUCUUUAGAUUAAGCGCCAUGGCAUUAACACUGCACCAGUCCACCAGAGAGUGCAGAUCGCCGUGUAAGCACUAUGACCGAUCUGGAGAAUCCAAAUUUAAAACAACUUCACAUCAUCUGCGAACAUUAAAAUCCUUGUAAACUAUUAAACGAAUUAUGCUUCGAA